rnacentral:rRNA from 1 species
GAUGAACGCUAGCGAUAGGCUUAACACAUGCAAGUCGAGGGGCAGCAUGAACAAAGCUUGCUUUGUUUGAUGGCGACCGGCGCACGGGUGCGUAACACGUAUGCAACUUACCCAUAAAGCGAGGAUAACCCGGAGAAAUUCGGACUAAUACUCGAUGGUAUUAUUGGGAGGCAUCUUCUAAUAAUUAAAGAUUUAUCGAUUAUGGAUAGGCAUGCGCAUGAUUAGCUAGUUGGUGAGGUAACGGCUCACCAAGGCGACGAUCAUUAGGGGUUCUGAGAGGAAGGUCCCCCACACUGGUACUGAGACACGGACCAGACUCCUACGGGAGGCAGCAGUGAGGAAUAUUGGUCAAUGGAGGCAACUCUGACCCAGCCAUGCCGCGUGAAGGAUUGACGGCCCUCUGGGUUGUAAACUUCUUUUGUACGGGAAUAACCCUCCGAACGUGUUCGGAGCUGAAGGUACCGUAAGAAUAAGGAUCGGCUAACUCCGUGCCAGCAGCCGCGGUAACAC